rnacentral:piRNA from 1 species
AUGGCCACUUGAAUCUAUCCUCAAACUCAA